UGGGGAAUAUUGCACAAUGGGCGCAAGCCUGAUGCAGCCAUGCCGCGUGUGUGAAGAAGGCCUUCGGGUUGUAAAGCACUUUCAGCGGGGAGGAAGGCGAUAAGGUUAAUAACCUUGUCGAUUGACGUUACCCGCAGAAGAAGCACCGGCUAACUCCGUGCCAGCAGCCGCGGUAAUACGGAGGGUGCAAGCGUUAAUCGGAAUUACUGGGCGUAAAGCGCACGCAGGCGGUUUGUUAAGUCAGAUGUGAAAUCCCCGGGCUCAACCUGGGAGCUGCAUCUGAUACUGGCAAGCUUGAGUCUCGUAGAGGGGGGUAGAAUUCCAGGUGUAGCGGUGAAAUGCGUAGAGAUCUGGAGGAAUACCGGUGGCGAAGGCGGCCCCCUGGACGAAGACUGACGCUCAGGUGCGAAAGCGUGGGGAGCAAACAGG
rnacentral:rRNA from 1 species